GACGAACGCUGGCGGCGUGCUUAACACAUGCAAGUCGAACGGAAAGGCCCUGCUUUUGUGGGGUGCUCGAUUGGCGAACGGGUGAGUAACACGUGAGUAACCUGCCCUUGACUUUGGGAUAACUUCAGGAAACUGGGGCUAAUACCGGAUAGGAGCUCCUGCUGCAUGGUGGGGGUUGGAAAGUUUCGGCGGUUGGGGCUGGACUCGCGGCUUAUCAGCUUGUUGGUGGGGUAGUGGCUGACCAAGGCUUUGACGGGUAGCCGGCCUGAGAGGGUGACCGGCCACAUUGGGACUGAGAUACGGACCAGACUCCUACGGGAGGCAGCAGUGGGGAAUAUUGCACAAUGGGCGGAAGCCUGAUGCAGCAACGCCGCGUGCGGGAUGACGGCCUUCGGGUUGUAAACCGCUUUCGCCUGUGCCGAAGCGUGAGUGACGGUAAUGGGUCAAGAAGCACCGGCUAACUACGUG
rnacentral:rRNA from 1 species